GAAGCAAAGCACAGGGGAUAGAGAUGCUACAGUUCCUACCUAGGGCACAGGCUUUCGAGCUAUGCAUGUGAGGGACUUCUCUCUGAACCUGUGUCCUCACCUGUUUGUCCUACGUCUUAGAGCUUCUGAGGAGCUUCAGUGGAGAUAGUGGAUGCAAAGCCUGCAGAAGAACUCCUGGAAGGUGACACGCGUUUCAUAAAUGUUGAUGAUUGCUCCUUUUGGUUGUGUGGAUCGAAAUUACAUUUCUCCAUAUACUAGGUGAUCUUAGGAAAGAUAACCUAAGUCUGGAUUUCUUCAUCUGUAAAAUGGCAUAAGGAAAAGCCCUACCUAAUAGGAUGCAGUUAGGAUCAAAUGAACUGAAAGAUACAAAGCUCCAGGCCUCUGCCCGGCACCAGCCUGUGCCCAGGCUGCAGCAGCUCAUCUGUUCAUUCCUCCAGAGUUAAUCACAGGAAUGAGAGUAUGAAAAAGUUAUUGGCCAAAGUGGACAAGUCAUGCUGUUAUUCUAGUCUAAAGAUCCUGGAGAGACCUAGAGAAGAAAAAAUGGCAUAUUGCUUCUGUGCAGAUGAUGUGUACCUAAAGAGAGCCCUGAGGGGGCUAUUAUAAACAGGUGGAUAACCCCCCACCUUGUUUUUCUCAUUCAUUUAAGUAUGUGUCCUGUUAUUUCUGUUUAGCAGCCAGUUAAUCCUGCUGUGUUUUUGCUUAGACUAAUAUCAAAGUUAGUUUGCAUUUCCUGAGACAGCCCAGAGAUUGAGGUAAGAUAAGACGUGGAGGAAGCAGUUGAUUCACUGUUAAAUGUGGCAACGGAAUAACUGCAAGACCAACAAACUGGAAACAGAGAUCAGGAGGAAAUUCAGUCUAUCAAGUGGAACACUACUGGAUUAUUUUCUCUUCAUGGAGAAGCACUUCUUUUAGGUAUGACACCCCCCAGACCUUUUGUAUUUCUAACUCCAUCUCAGCAUCUGCUUCCCCAAAAACUCAACUGGUAACACUUGAUACCAAGAAUGGUCUGAAAAAGCAGGUGAUAAGAAAAGGCUUUCAGUCUGGCUCAUUCACCACUCAUCCGGUGGUAAGGACCCUAUCCCUGGUGAAGUACAGACAACCCUUGGCAUACGAUGAGGUCCAGCUGUUAAAACUCUCAUCAUGGUGGACUGGGAUGGCACGUGGCAGAGAGAAGAACACUGGUUCAAGCAUUUGAAAUGUAUAGGGGGACUUAUAAGUAUGAGGAUAAUGUAAUGUGUUGAUUAUUACUAAAUUGUAUUAAAAGGAGGGUAAUUAAUGAAAAGCUGAGAGCAGCUACAAAUAAUGGAAACUAAAUAUGAAAGGAGUCUUUACACUUUAUCUUUCUCACUAGAGGUAAGCAGAAAAAGUUUAAGAUAAGGCACAUGAUUUAAUGAAGUUACUGAACUUUAAAGACAAUUGAGUUUUCAACCAAAGCAGGGGUGUAAUGCCAAAGUCAGGUCCUACUUGUCAAAACCUGGGACCAUGACACUUGGAGUUGGAGUGUUUGAAUGGAUGUUCCUAGUCUCCUCUGAACCUACUGAACCUAUAGUGUGGCUCACCCCUUUCAGUUAAGACCUAGCACAUUCCUGUGCAGGAAGAUCAUACAAGGAAGUUUCCCCCAAAAGGCAACAGGUGACUCCCUCCUCCUCUCCUAGAUGUCAGGCCUAAACCUAAGACAGUCAGCAAUAAUCUGGGCCUGGUUAGGGAAAAAAGUGACCAUAACUUAAAGGAACUACAAGAUGGCAUCGGGGUGUGCUAGCAGAGAUCAAGAUGUACCAUCAAGAAGGGAAGAACUUAAGUGUCUAGUUAAAUUUGCAUUGCAGAAGUUUUUUGUGUCAAGCAUACUACCAUUGCUGGAGCUGAUUAAUAUGGUCUCAGGUAUGUGGUAUGCAACUUCAAAUUGGUAAUGAAAGCUUUUUCCAAUUCCAAAGAGUAAAGGCCAUCAGAAGCUCUUCAUAUUCAAAUAGAAUGGGCAAUAUUAUUGACCUGGGGACCUCCAUAUUCCUUGGACCAAAUGUGACUGUGAAUGGACAAAUAUGGCAACCCUAGCCUAAGAAAGGCAUAACAACUAUGCACUCAGAGUUGGGGUCUCAGCACUGCAUAGACCACUAAGAGUAGCAAAUAUGGUAUCUUAGAGCAAGGAGAAUUUAGAAUGGAUCACAGGAGAGGAGAUUAUGAAUAUCUGUUGUAGCUCCAAGAUCUACAGCACCAGUGGGGGGGUGGUGUUAGUUUUUCCCACUAACCUCCCUCUUCUAAGUUUCCCCUUAGGAAUGAAGACCCACCAGAGCCUUGGAAAGAGGCUCCUUACACAGUCUAAGGGGUAGACUGUGUCAGAUAGAGAUGUGCUACUCAGAUCCCCCUUUAAGAAAAAACUCAUUGCCUGACUAUGAGGAGUGUCAUUCAUUGCAACCUUUGAUUGUUACCUUCCUUUUUUUAAACAAACAAACAAAAAAAAACAAAACCCUUUAUUUUAUUUAUUUAAAUUUUUUUUUAUGUGAUGCUGAGGAUCAAACCCAGUGCCUCCCAUGUACUAGGCAAGCGCUCUACCUCUGAGCCACAACCCCCGCCCUUGUUAUCUCCUUUAAGGUCAACCUCAGCCUCCCAGUCAAGGUCAUUCUCUUCUCAGAGCAGCCCUUGGCCCAGAACAGAGUGAAAAGGGCUGGCCAUUUCCGAACAACACAGAAUUGCCCUAGUGGGUCAUGUACUCCAAAGGUCCCUGUUGACUGGCAAAGACUCUCAGAUCAGCAUCAUGGUCUGACAGCCCUUCCUGGCUUCCUUCCUCUACUGGGCUGAAUGGAAUGUCAACUUCCCCCAUGAGAAAAGAUAUGUGCACAUCUCCUCCUUUCUGGAACCUGUUUAUAUUACCAUAUUUUUUAAAAGGAGUCUCCUUUGCAGAUGUAAGUUAUAGAUCCAAGAUGAGGGGAUCAUCCUAAAUUAUCUGACUUGGCUCUAACUGUAAUCACAUGUAUUCUUAAGAGACAGGCAGAGGAUAGAGACACAGAGAAGAGCAAGCAGUCAUGUGACUACAGGAGCAGAGGUGGAGUAACACAGUAGCAAGCCACCAAGGAAUGCCUGGAGCCCCCAGAAGCCGAAAGGCAAGGAUCAGAGUCCACUGGAGCCUUCAGAAAGAUUGCAACCCUGCCAAAACCAUGAUUUUGGACUUACAACCUGCAAAACUAUCACAGAACAUUUUUCUGCUGUUUCGAGCCACCAAAUGUGUGGUGAUUUAUCACCUUCACAGAUGACCCUCCUCAGUCUCUGCAGCUGCUUCUUGAAGCAGUGCAACCUGCAAGAGUGUGAUAGGAUAGUGUGAAAUGGUAUGACUGGAAGGGCAUGUAGGAAGGGCACCUAGACCGGUCCAGGGGCAGAGGAGGGACUAGUGGGACAGGCAGGAGGACAAUCCAGAGGAAGAGACAUCAAGCAGCCCAAAGGACGGUGGGAGCCAGCCAAAUCAAGAGACACUAAAGAGAAAGCAUAUCACACUGGAGGAACUACAACUACUCAGGAUGAGAGAAAGGAGUAGUUGUGGGAGGUAAGUGCGGGGAGAGAAGUGAGGUCAGAUCCAACUGGGCUUUGUAAGUGAUCUUAAGUCUUUGUAUUAAAUCUGAAAAGGAUUUUAAACAGCAGGAGCCCUGGCCAGCACUUCGCUAAGAAAGACGAAUUCAUUCAGCUUAAGAGAAAUGUAAGGAUACUACUGUUCCUGAGAAAGAUACCACUAUAAAACCUUCUCAGUAAUUGAUGGCUUCGUGUGAACAGCUGCAUCCCAUCCCAUUCCACCAAUGUUUUUGCUGGGGACAUGGAGACAUUAUGAUGGCCUCAGGCAGCUUUCUCUUCAGAGUUUGAUAAGGAUUAUUUACAAUCUUUUCUCAACUUCAUAUAAAGUGUAAUGCAAAAACAACUUCAAGUCUUACCUUCCACCAUCAACCCCAAAUCCCUUCUACCUACAGAUUCUGGGGCUGCCUUUGGCCAUGGGCUUUAGGACAAGGAGUAUUUUCAAUCUAGGGAAGAGCAGAAAAAUGGCACAACGAUCUACAACCUUACGUUACUCUGCAGGGACAGACCAGGAACUGGAUGGGGUUGUUAUCUCUUCAGAAGCAGCUGUGGGAUGUAACCAGGGAGAGAUGGCAGCCCCACCACACUCUAGGAAGGCCCGGCCUACACAGGAAAUUGUUAUCUUACCUCCCUUUGGGAACAAAGGGGAAGCGUUGUUUGAUGCAGACUUCAAAACAGAGUGGCCUUAGGGGCACAUCUGGUGUAUUUUCUUUGGUCCUCCAGAGCUGUUGUUGUAUUUAAUUGAACCAAUAUUCAAAUAUUAGAGGAGUUCCCAUGACAGUUCAGACUGCCAGUGUCUCUUGUCGAUUCACGCUCCUUCCUGUAGGGAUCAGAGCUCAGCGGUGACCACCCCUUCAUGUGUAUAAGUGGGCUCCCUUCUACGCUGGGACCCAUUCAACUGAAUUCUCCUCAUCACAGAAACCAAGUGCUUUGUUUUCCUAACGAAGGCCUGAGAAAUACUUAUCUGUAUCCACAUUCCCACCAAAAGUGGGGAAGUGAGUGUUACAUAGAGAGGAUCAGAAUUUCUGCAUGAAGGGGAAGAUACUAUCAUAUUUCACCUCUGACGCCAGUCAGCUCAUUUGAUUCAUUUACAUGUCUGAUUUUGGAACCCUUUUCUUAAAGGUUACAGGGCCUCAGUCCCUCAGCUGUCCUAGUACAGUUUCUUUCUUCUACCUGUGGCAUCUCUUGCCAAUUCUUCCAGAUUAAGCCUCCCUCCAGGUCUUGGUUUUGAGCAACUAAGCUUCACCCUAGGCUGGAACCACAGCAGCAGGGACCAUUCCUGGGAACCUAGGGGAACUGCAGAGAGAACUUCAGCAGAAAGGCUCUGAACAGAAAGAAGAUUGUAUGAUUUCUUUCCAGGUGCCUCUCUCUUUUUCUCCUCUAACUGGUUAACACACCCACAUACCCAGUGAUGCCAGGCCUCACUCUUGAGGGCAUCAAGAAAUGGAAUUUGAGCUAGGCAGGGUGGCGCAUGUCUGUGAUCUCAGCAGCUCAGAAGGAUCACAAGUUCAAAGCCAACCUCAGCAAAAUGAAG